CUGGACUUGUUUUUGACCAUUCUCCUAUCGAUUUUUACCUGACCUUGCAUGUUCUCUCCUUUACGCUAUUCUCUGUCUACCUGACCUCGUCCUGUCUUGUCUUAUAUACCACUGUAUAUUUAAUAUGGUUUGCUUAAGUUCUGCAUGUCAAGUUAUAGUGAACUGUGACACACUGCUCACAAAUACAGCCCUGCAAGGAUAGACAAAUAGUAAAU